rnacentral:rRNA from 1 species
AGGGUUCGAUUCUGGCUCAGGAUGAACGCUGGCGGCGUGCUUAACACAUGCAAGUCGAACGAUUAACCCAUCUUCGGAUGGUUAUAGAGUGGCGAACGGGUGAGUAACACGUGAUCAACCUACCUUUCACUUUGGGAUAACUACGGGAAACUGUAGCUAAUACCAAAUACUCCUGGGGUUCCGCAUGGCGCCCUAGGGAAAGUUCCGGCGGUGAAAGAUGGGAUCGCGGUCCAUUAGGUAGUUGGUGGGGUAACGGCCUACCCAAGCCCGCGAUGGAUAGCCGGGUUGAGAGACUGAUCGGCCACAUUGGGACUGAGAUACGGCCCAGACUCCUACGGGAGGCAGCAGUGGGGAAUUUUGCGCAAUGGGGGAAACCCUGACGCAGCAACGCCGCGUGCGGGAUGACGGCCUUCGGGUUGUAAACCGCUUUCAGUAGGGAAGAAAUUGACGGUACCUACAGAAGAAGCUCCGGCUAAAUACGUGCCAGCAGCCGC